rnacentral:tRNA from 1 species
GCCCGGGUGGCGGAAUGGUAGACGCAGCGGACUUAAAAUCCGUUGGCCGCAAGGCCGUGAGGGUUCGAGUCCCUCCCUGGGCACCA